rnacentral:pre_miRNA from 1 species
AGCCUUCUGUAUCCGUGCUGAGAUUUCGUCACACACCAGACCACAGAGGCUGAUGAAAAUCAUAAGUGAAGCU